rnacentral:rRNA from 1 species
AUGACGAUGGCGCAGACAACCAGGAUGGCCAAUGUUGAUUCCGCUCUCGUCCACCUGAGAGUAAACUGCAAGCAGUUGCUGGAGUUUCCCGCCGGCGAGGCCCUCAGCUGCGACGUAGUCUCCGUCGGUGGGCAGCUCUGGAGGAUCGACCUCUCCCCGAGAGGGAUAAGGCCCAACCACCGACACGUCUCCAUCUUCCUCAGGCACCUCACGGCCAUAUUCGAGCCCUUCUUCCUGGGCAAGGACGGCAGACCAUCUCCCAAGAUCACAAAGUGCUCGCACGCCAAUGAGUACGACGCGUGUAGUAGUAUCAGAAGCUGCGCCGACGGAAACGUCACCUUCGUGUGUGCCAUCGUGGUCGUCAACCAGCUACACCCUGCCCCCGUGCCGCCACCGAACCUCGGGGGCCAGCUUGGCCGCCUGCUGGAAGACGACGGGACGACGGACGUGUCGUUUGUCAUUGGCGGCGAGACGUUCCAUGCGCAUCGGGCGAUUCCCAUGGCCCGCUCGCCGGUCUUCAGGGUGCAGCUCUUUGGAUCCAUGUUCCCGACGUUGGCGCCCAUGGUGCUGCACGACAUCUCACCCGCGACGUUCCGCGUCAUGCUUCGGUGGAUGUACACGGAUGCCUGGCCUGCAGGAGACGAUGGUUCAUCGCCUGUUGACAUGUUUCGGGAUCUUCUUGCCGCCUCCGACCGGUAUGCGUUGCACCGGCUGAAACUUAUGUGUGCACGAAAGUUGUGCCAUAAUGUUGUGCCGACAGGGAGGUGGAGAGGAGGGGGUUCAGCGACGACGACGACGACGCACACAACCACGGUGGAGGAUCUUGAUUCCGCUCUCGUGCACCUCCGAGUAGACUACAAGCACUUCAUGAGGUUGCCCCCCGGCGUAGCCCUCUGCUCCGACGUGGUCUCCGUUGGUGGGCAACAAUGGAUGCUCGAGUUGUAUCCACGAGGGAAAAGGGCGCAUCAUACCUACACUUCCAUCUUCCUCAGGCACCUCACAAGAUCAUCGUCACCAAGGAGCACCGUCAAGGCCAUAUUCGAGCCUUUCUUCCUGGGAAGGGACGGCAGGCCAUCUCCCAAGAUCACAAAUUGGUCGCACGUCAAUGAGUACGAUGAAAGUAGUGUUACACGUAGAAACUACGUCUUCUGUGCUGACGAGAAUGGAUAUCCUCACUUCUUUAAACGGCACCCUCUAGCAGGGACAUACGUCAUCGACGGCAACAUCACGUUCCUGUGCUCCGUGGUGGUCGUAAACGAGCUAGGCCCUGAUCCGGUCCCUACCUCGAACCUCGGGGAGCAUCUCGGCCGCUUGCUGGAAGAUGGCAGUAGCACCGGCGACGGGAUGAUGAUGUGGACAGACGUGUCAUUCUUCGUCAAUGGUGAGACAUUCCGCGCACACCGGGCGGUGCUAGCGGCCCGCUCGCCGGUCUUCAAGGCUCUACUCUUUGGAUCCAUGAUGGAGGCUACAAUGACCUCGUCAGCACCGAUUGCGCUGCACGAGAUCAUGCCUGCGACAUUCGAUGCCAUGCUUCGGUUCAUGUACACAGAUGCCUGGCCCGAGGACGAUGAGCCUGUCGGCGACUCAUCGUCCAUUGAGAUGUUUCAGGAUCUACUUGCUGCUGCAGAUCGGUAUGCGCUAGACCGUCUGAAACUCAUGUGCGCACGAAAGUUGUGGGAUGUUGUGUCGGUACAUACUGUUGUGAGUAUCCUGGUUUGUGCUGAAACGUAUGAUUGCCCAGAGUUGAGUAAAAAGUGCCUUGACUUCUGUGCGAGAAACGAAAAUUUCAAGCAAGUGGCGUCCGUCGAUGGUUAUGCAUUGUCGGUGCUGAAAUUUCCAUCAAUUACUGGUGAGCUCAUCGAGGUUGGGGCAUCAAGUUAG